ensembl:lncRNA
UGUUAAAAACAGUUCAACUUCCAAAGGCUGUCCAGUCAGGUGUGACACCCACCCAGCAUGCAGACCCGAAAAACUGACACAUCUCUUUAAAGGUCACAGUUCUGUCAAAAUACACACACCAUAUGGAACACUCUUCUGGGCACACAUCAUAUUUUAGCACUUGCAGCCUGCCAGCGACACUGAUAGAGAAGUGCUAUUCCUGAGGGUGCCACACAGAUGGGUUGAUCAAUUUUACACGGUUUCUGCUACGUCGUCUACACAUUUAUGGAAAGCAGCGAGUGACCGACAGCCCACACACUUUGGAGCACGUCAGGACACCCACUUUCACCUUGAUUGGCACCGAAGAGCACGGAGAGCACACGGGAAGCACCAACCAGCAGAAAGCGGAUCAGGACACUUCACCAGGCACCCUUCACUUAUCAAUAAACCCACCCUCCGGGGCAUUUAAUUCACGCACCUCUUGUCGAGUGUUUCUUCACCCCGUGACAGUGGUGGAGAAUGCGGGCAUUACAGUGAGGAAUCACCGACAAGAUCACCGCCCCAACGCCUAAUUUUUUUUCCUUUUUUUCCCUGUUUCUGUCACCAGCACCACGGAAG